rnacentral:misc_RNA from 1 species
GGGGAUUGGGGAUUGGGUCGGCAACGCGCUUGCGAUGCUUCUGGUGUUGCAGGUGUCUAUAGGCUACGGUAAUCGCUUACCAUCAGGUGAGCCGUACGCUUGUUUGCCGAACUCGUGAUAUAAAAAAAAAAGUAAAACCUCUUUACGCACGCUUGACUUGGGGAGUAAGCUGGUGAAUGCAUGACGAGAGCGUUACGAAAAGUGUGAUCGGGCGAGGCGAACGGAAGUUGAGAGGGAGG